rnacentral:rRNA from 1 species
GAUGAACGCUGGCGGCGUGCCUAAUACAUGCAAGUCGAGCGAACAGACGAGGAGCUUUCUCCUCUGACGUUAGCGGCGGACGGGUGAGUAACACGUGGAUAACCUACCUAUCAGACGGGGAUAACUUCGGGAAACCGGAGCUAAUACCGGAUCAUAUAUUGAACCGCAUGGUUCAAUAGUGAAAGACGGUUUUGCUGUCACUUAUAGAUGGAUCCGCGCCACAUUAGCUAGUUGGUAAGGUAACGGCUUACCAAGGCAAAGAUGCGUAGCCGAGCUGAGAGGGUGAUCGGCCACACUGGAACUGAGACACGGUCCAGACUCCUACGGGAGGCAGCAGUAGGGAAUCUUCCGCAAUGGGCGAAAGCCUGACGGAGCAACGCCGCGUGAGUGAUGAAGGUCUUCGGAUCGUAAAACUCUGUUAUUAGGGAAGAACAAAUGUGUAAGUAACUAUGCACGUCUUGACGGUACCUAAUCAGAAAGCCACGGCUAACUACGUG